GUGUCAGCAGCCGCGGUAAUACGGGGGGAGCGAGCGUUGUUCGGAAUCACUGGGCGUAAAGGGCGCGUAGGCGGCUGGAUAAGUCAGAGGUGAAAUCCCAGGGCUUAACCUUGGAAUUGCCUUUGAUACUGUCCGGCUAGAGGGCGGAAGAGGAUAGUGGAAUUCCUGGUGUAGCGGUGAAAUGCGUAGAUAUCAGGAAGAACACCGGUGGCGAAGGCGGCUAUCUGGUCCGCUACUGACGCUGAGGCGCGAAAGCCAGGGGAGCAAACGGGAUUAGAUACCCGCGUAGUCC
rnacentral:rRNA from 1 species